AACGAACGCUGGCGGCAGGCUUAACACAUGCAAGUCGAGCGGGCCCUUCGGGGUCAGCGGCAGACGGGUGAGUAACACGUGGGAACGUACCUUUUGGUUCGGAACAACUCCGGGAAACUGGAGCUAAUACCGGAUAAGCCCUUAGGGGGAAAGAUUUAUCGCCAAAAGAUCGGCCCGCGUCUGAUUAGCUAGUUGGUGGGGUAACGGCCCACCAAGGCGACGAUCAGUAGCUGGUCUGAGAGGAUGAUCAGCCACACUGGGACUGAGACACGGCCCAGACUCCUACGGGAGGCAGCAGUGGGGAAUAUUGGACAAUGGGCGCAAGCAUGAUCCAGCCAUGACGGGUGAGUGAUGAAGGCCUUAGGGUUGUAAAGCUCUUUUGUCCGGGAAGAUAAUGACUGUACCGGAAGAAUAAGCCCCGGCUAACUUCGUG
rnacentral:rRNA from 1 species